rnacentral:tRNA from 1 species
GCCCCCAUUGUCUAGAGGCCCAGGACGUUUCCUUUUCACGGAAGAAGCAGGGAUUCGAAUUCCCUUGGGGGUA